rnacentral:rRNA from 1 species
UACGUAGGGGGCAAGCGUUGUCCGGAAUCAUUGGGCGUAAAGCGCGCGUAGGCGGCCAGAUAAGUCCGGUGUGAAAGUCACAGGCUCAACCUGUGAAUGCCGCUGGAAACUGUCUGGCUUGAGUCCGGAAGGGGCGAGUGGAAUUCCUGGUGUAGCGGUGAAAUGCGCAGAUAUCGGGAGGAACACCAGUGGCGAAGGCGGCACUCUGGGCCGGUACUGACGCUGAGGAGCGAAAGCGUGGGGAGCGAACAGG